CAGCCGCCGCGGUAAAACGAAGGGGGCUAGCGUUGUUCGGAUUUACUGGGCGUAAAGGGCGCGUAGGCGGACUGAUAAGUCAGGGGUGAAAUCCCAAGGCUCAACCUUGGAACUGCCUUUGAUACUGUUUGUCUUGAGUUCGAGAGAGGUAAGUGGAACUGCGAGUGUAGAGGUGAAAUUCGUAGAUAUUCGCAAGAACACCAGUGGCGAAGGCGGCUUACUGGCUCGAAACUGACGCUGAGGCGCGAAAGCGUGGGGAGCAAACAGGAUUAGAUACCCCGGUAGUCCCUGUCUCUUAUAC
rnacentral:rRNA from 1 species